rnacentral:ncRNA from 1 species
CUUGUUGAGUUUAAGCAUAUCAAUAAGUGGAGGAAAAGAAACUUACAAGGAUUCCCCUAGUAACGGCGAGCGAACCAGGAAAAGCCUAGCUUAAAAAUUGAGCAGCAAAAGAAACUUACAAGGAUUCCCCUAGUAACGGCGAGCGAACCAGGAAAAGCCUAGCUUAAAAAUUGAGCAGCUAUGCUGUUCAAAUUGUAGUCUGGAGAAGCGUGUUCAGUGACGGAUCGGGCCCAAGUACCCUGGAAGGGGUCGCCAGAGAGUGUGAGAGCCCGUCGUGCCCGGACCCUGUUGCACCAUCAAAUUGUAGUCUGGAGAAGCGUGUUCAGUGACGGAUCGGGCCCAAGUACCCUGGAAGGGGUCGCCAGAGAGGGUGAGAGCCUCAGUGACGGAUCGGGCCCAAGUACCCUGGAAGGGGUCGCCAGAGAGUGUGAGAGCCCGUCGUGCCCGGACCCUGUUGCACCAUGAGGCGCUGUCUACGAGUCGGGUUGUUUGGGAAUGCAGCCCCAAUCGGGCGGUAAAUUCCGUCCAAGGCUAAAUACAGGCGAGAGACCGAUAACAAACAAGUACCGCGAGGGAAAGAUGAAAAGGACUUUGAAAAGAGAAUCAAAGAGUUCUUGAAAUUGUCGGAAGGGAAGCGGAUGAGGAUCGGCGAUGCGCCCAGGUCGGAUGUGGAAUAGUGUCAAGCCGGUCCGCCGAUCGACUUGGGGUGUGGACUUGUGCGGAUUGGUGCGGCGGCCAAAGCCCGGGUUGUAGAUACUCCUACGGAGACACCGUCGUGUCGAUUAUGGUUGGCAGCACGCGCCUCUUGGCGUGCCUGGGCAUCUGCGUGCUCCUGGCACAGUCCUGCGGGUUCCCCAUUCGGCCCGUCUUGAAAUACGG